rnacentral:misc_RNA from 1 species
GGGAGCUUCAAUCACAAACCCAACACUUAUUUUUGGAGCCAACAUUUCUGACUUCCAGACUCUAAGCAAUUCAAAUUGGGCAAUUUCUCCACCCACCACUGCGGAUGCUGUAACUUCGUUUUUGAUGUAGAACUCUUAACCCCAUUUUUGCUUUUGCUAUCGAUGAACUCUGCACAAUCUAUCUGAAUUUUCCUGUUUUCCUUUUGGUAUAUUAUAGAUUAUAUAGAUAGAUUUAUUGGGUGUCAAGAGCAUAAUGAACAAGAGUAUCAGCGCCGAAGAUCUGUCCACUAUUGGAGGAAUCGCUACCGUUUCACUUCUUCAUUCCUUAAUUCCAACGCAUUGGCUUCCAUUCUCCAUUGUUGGCCGCGCCCAGAAAUGGAAUCUCUCAAGAAGCCUCCUUGUCAGUAUGUUCCCACCUUCUCUUUCUGUCUCUGUGUUUGUAAUUGUGUACGUGCCACUUCUGAUCUGGCUUCAAAAAGACCAUCGGUUCUGGGUUUUGUAGAAUUUAAUAGUUAAGAGGAAUCUGAAGUUUCUUUGCUUUAGCAUGUUUGUGUUCAGAGAUCAUAGUACUUUGCAAGUAACAGUGAGAAAUUUAUUCUUUUGUACAAUGCUCAUUGUAAUGGGUUCAAUUGAUUUGCUAGGUUUUAUUUGAAUUUUAUGGGUAUUUCAGCGUUCAUUUUAGGGAUUAUUUGUGGUAAGUAGAGUGCUAUUAGCUUAUGGUUUAGAUUUGGAUGCCUCUGUGAUGGAUUGUGACGAUAAAGAAACUUGAUUUAAUGUGUCAGUACAUAGCAUUUCCACAUUUCUUAGUCUUGAAAGAGUACAUCCCUACUCCAAUUCUGUGACAUGUAUAUUCUAGUUUUCUUACACAAUCUGACAUGAUAGGGGAUUUGAUCAACAUGUCUCAAUGAGUAUGUUUCCAAUAAAUAUGUAGCAGGUGCAUGCAAUAUAAAUCUGCUCUUUUAUGAGAAUGCAGUUAAUGUGGCAUGUUUAAUUUUGCUAAGUUGAUUGAAUAUCUUCAUCCCUAAUAUCCAAAUUCAAAUUGAUACUUCCAGAUGUGCCUAUAGGCAGAUGCUCUUUGGUUUGAGUUCAUUCAGUUCUGAUUGGAUUGACACUAAUCUGACCUAAUAGUAUGCUGAAGUCACACCUUUAGGUCAUUCUUGUUGAUGGAUUAGUUCACCAGGUGAACUAGAACAGGAAGCUGAAUUUUAAUUUGCAUUCUAUCUCUCAAAUAUUCGUACUUAAAGGGUAAUGAAUAUAUCUUUCAGCCUUUUUCUUUUCUUUCCUUUAUGCAGCGGCAUUUGGUGCAGUUUUGCAUGUAAUAUCCACUUCACUUCUUGGUAUAACAGCAAUAACCAUGGCAAACACAAUUGCUGGAGAAGAAACUGUGCACAAACUUGCUUCACUUUUGCUUGUAAUUCUCGGUGUUAGUUAUGUGUUACUGUUUCUGUCUGGAAAGGGUGCACACAGUCAUUCUCACAACCAACCCAUGGAGAAAAUGGCUGUAGCAGGACUUGUCCUUGUACCUGCGUUAUCCCCUUGUGCAACUACACUUCCAGUUUUUCUUGCUGUUGGGAAUUCAUCCUCCAUGAUGGUGCUUGCUAUCAUAGUGCUGCUAUUUAGCACUAUUACUGUGAUGACCUCACUGGUGGCUCUAUCAUUCUAUGGUGCCAGCCAGCUCAAGUUUCAUUGGGUGGAGCGGUAUGACAAACUUCUUGUGGGUUCAGUUUUAUGUUUGGUAGGAAUCUUGACACUUUUUCAUGAUCAUGAUCACGAUCACAAUGGAGAUGGAGGUUUCUCAGGAGAACAAUUGCACAGAAAAAUCAUCGUUCUUUAAGUGCUCUUAUUAUCUUGUAGUAUGUAUUUUGGUGUAUCUUAGAGUCUGUAGAAUACCAAUACCUCUUCUGGCUCAACAAGGCAUUGGCUGUAAGUGACUGUUGAAUGUUGAUUGCUCCUAAAUGAGUAUUAGUAUUGUUUGUUGAUCUUCAUUCUUAUCCAGAUGGUCCCUGUGUUAGUGAAUGUUAAUACUUUCUAUGUGCAUAAAUAGGUUUUAAUUUAAUUUUGUGUCUUGAGUUAAUUUAUUUCA